ensembl:lncRNA
CCACCCCUUGCCAGACCUCACUUAAGGGCUGGCAGUGGAGGCAAGGCUGUUUUGCUGGAGAUCUUUGUCUACCUGUGGCCUCCCAAGGGUUGAACAACCCCAACUCUACUUUCAGAAGUCAAAGAGGAUCUCAACAACACAGCUGGGGCUUGGACAAAAUUCUCUAGCAGCAGUCUGCAAAUUACAGUGAUUCCUUGAAGAGACAGAAAACAGAACAAAGCAACUUAACCUGGGAGGAGGAGUUCAAAUCUGUUUGGCUUGGACAAGUUUGAGAACCUAUUGUAGGGAACCUGCUUUAACAGUGAGAUUGGACUUAAUAAUCUUCAGAGGUCCCUUCCAACCCCUGGGAGAAGAACUUGAGAGCAGACCUGCAGAGAAGGACUAAGGGGUUCUGGGCAAGCUCCUCAAGGAUUCUGUGCUCACAGGAUGAUUUGAACAAUGGAUCUAUUUGUAGCCUAGGUGGUACCAUGGUUCCCAAAUGGUGUAUGCUUUCCAAACGAGAAAAGCUUUCAUCAGAAAUAUGAUGCAUUUUCGUGAUCUGAUACGUUCAUUUACAGGUUUGUCCAUAAAUAUUUUUGCAGCUACACAGAGGGGAAAAUGAAUAUGGUCUUACAUACUUCACUUCUUCACGGAUGUUUGUAUGCUACCUUCCCUUCUGGGCUGUCUUAUUUAUUGUCUGUGCUGUGUGUUUGCUUGCAAAUCUGAAUCUUUCUCUACAGAUGCAGAGACUCUUAACUCCUUUCUCAUGGAGCAAACCAUCCAUCAGCACAUUUUGCCUUGAGGUCUGCAGAAUGUCAGGUUUGGGUCAGUUAGCAUUGUCUUCAGUGCCUAAAUCUUUGAAAACAAGUUCAUACUGUCAAUUUCUUGAAACAAUUCUGCAAUUGGUAGAUAUUCAUGUAGAUUAUACUCUCAUUAUCAUUAGACUGUUUAACCCAACAUUCUUAACCUUUCUUGUUAGGAUGGCUGAAACUAAGGACUGGUCCUCAGAUGAAGCAGUGGGUGAGGUUGGCUGAUCUUCGUGCUCUAGAAUGAUACAUCUUCUUAUUAGGAAAAGGUUUUGGGUGCUGUUCUUGUUUGGGUGUCUGGCUGCUGAGAAAGAUGCUUUGAAUGUACAGUCGUUUGUAAACAUGGAGUGGCAGAUGCAUUCAGUUAAAAUGUAAUUCCAGGCUUGUGGCUUACCCUUGAAAUGCUUUCUUCCAUCUAGCAGCACUACUGAGCUCUCAGUCUGAAGUUGAGCCAGCUGUCUGUCUUCCAGAUCCUUUCAAGCAAGUCUACGUUUGGUAUGGUUUUGCUUGUACCUGAUUCUGGUGAAUAACAGUAAAAGCUGGGGAAUGUGUGAAGAGGAUCUGAUGUUGCACUCUGAAGGCAGAACUAUGAAGAGAGAGUUUCAAGUAUCCAGCUUUUUUCACAGUGCUGUGACUAACUCUCCAUUUUAAAAAGCUUAUCUGGAUGUUGCCAAGGACACUUCUACUUCCUGGAUUGCUUUGCCUUUGGUGGAACAGGACGGAGUAGCUACGCUGCAUCAUUCAGGCAGAACAUGGUAUAGCUAAAAGCCAGUAUUGGUAGUUCUGCUCUUCCAAACGUUAAAAUGUAGAAAGGUGCUACAUUUUACAGAAAUAAAGGGGUAAAUGAAUUGGGGGGAAAAAAAAGAAAAACUUUCAUGCAUAAUUACAUAGAAAUUCUAUGUGUAAAAAGAAGCAUGAAUUGACCAUUCUAUUGACCUCCAGUAGAAUUUUCUGUUAGCUAAGAUCUAUGUAUUAAAGCCAAAGCCCAUCCCAGAUUCAUCCAUCAGUCCUGCUUGCGGAGUUUUACUGUAAUGAUUCAUUCAGGAUUUCAACUUUUGGAGAUGACUACUUAGUACUUUUGGCUUAGAUUUUUACUGCUUGUAAAGCUUGGUGUAUAGGCUUAUCAUUUCAGAAAUAACAUGAACUAGGUUAUGAGAUCAUUGUGAAAGAUUCUUCAUUAACUGUCAUACAACGCUCAUGGAACUAUAUUAUUUCAGGGGAUUUUUUCCUCAUUUCUCCCAGGAGAAAUUUUCAAGCUGGUGGGUUCUGAUAUAAAAUAUAUACAAUACUCAUUUUGUGCUCAAAGUUUCUUGAUAUAAAGAUCACUAGAUUAGAUUGCACAUACUUUUAGGGGGAAAAUAUUUUAGUUUGGAAACUGUAUUAAAGUGAAUGUAUCUCAAAAAUUAAAUCAUAGUAUGUGUGUGAUUAGAUAUGUAAUCUAAGUAUAUUUCAAAAUAUUAUACCAGACAUGUUACCUAACUCAAUCUACAUGCAUUGCUUUGGCAAGUUCAGAGUUUGCCUAAUAGGCUGAAGUCAAGAGAUAAGAAUAGCUUGUUCAGCAUGUCCAGACAAUGUAGUUAUGAAGGAAAGAAAGGAAGAAAAGAAGAAAACUUAGAGCAGUGGAAAUAUUUCAGGUAAAGGGACAGGAACCUAGAGUGUGAGAAGUGAAGCUGAACAUGUGAAUAUAACAAGAAGUGAUAGAACAGUACUGGUUCUUUUUAUUGUUCUAAUAAAGAUGAUUCAGGUCUGCUUUUAUUUCUCUCAGAAUCUGUGGCAAGUCUCUGUUUUCAUUUAUAGGAUAUGAGAGUAGAGCUUCUAGAGUACCCAUCUGGCCUGUCAAUGUUUAUUCUUUUUCACUGUGGUGAGGCUAUUGACGUUUUCUGGGCUUUUGCUCUGGAAAACUGAGUAGUCCAUGAUGAACGUGUGCCACUGCUAUUGCUAGGGAAAGACGUUAAGAUCCUUUGGUAGGAAGACAGGUGAUUUUCUGUCUGGCAUGGAGUUGUCAUUUCACUCACUGGUCAAAACUCUAAGGUAAGUACAGCCUUUCAGAGCUCUUGUUAAAUGCACUGCAUUAAUUCACAGUGUCUCCCUUAGCUUCUCAUAAUGUUAUCUUGCUCUUAAUCAAAGCUUCUGUUAAAGCUCAUCUCUUCCUAUGUUCCCUUGCACAGUUGAAUGUAGAUCUUUCUUUCAUAAUCUUCACUGUUUGCAGUUUAAUCUGCAUUAAUAUUUGACUUUAUUGCACAGUAAUAUUCACACACAAUGAGGGCAUUUAUGAUCCUGCAAAAGCACCAUCUUAAAUACAAGACAUGGGAAUUUUUUUUUGGAGGCCCACCCCUAGCCUUGCAAGACUUGCGGCACCAGCUCCUUCACAGUGUGAUUCACGGACAUGAAGUUAGGAACCUGUUGCUAACAAAUGCCAGUCUUCUGCAUUGCACCAAUAGUUCAGCAAAGGGAUUCAGGACCAAAAGUUAGCUUUCGGGAAUAAUAUGUCCUUAAUUUGGGCUUUAUUGCACUUUAUCUACAAUAUCUACGUGGGGAGUCUGGGUGAAAACUGACCGAUCUGUUUAACUUUACCAUGUUAGUGGCUAACCUUUUACAGUUUUAGAGCUGUUUGCAGAAUAUGACCCUCCUGCAGUGCACAAACCCUCUAAAGUCCUUUGUCAGCUAAACUGCAGUUGUCAGACAUGAGGGUUAUGGGAACGCUACAGACUAACUUUGUAGGAUUUGCUCCUGUCUUUGUCAUUAGUCAAACUUCUAACACUGGUUAAAAUGUACAUUUUGUAACUUAAUAAUUCUAAACUGGAAAAUUAGACCACAAAACUGGACACUGAAUAAAUUUACUCCUUUGAAUAUGGUCUCUGCACCUUAACAAAACACAUCACAGUGAGUUAAUAAUUACUAUUUUUAUACUGUGUUAUUUUAUGGAAAGUAUCUCUCACCAGCAGGAAAGUACAAGGACUUCUAGGAUUCACUGGGGUAUAAUGAAAGUUGCCAAAAAUGUAAACUAAUACAGAUUUUCUUAUGAACCAUGAAAAUAUUAUGUUUAAACUAAAACUGUAACCUUUAGCCUUUGUAUGAGAACAGCAAAAAUAUGAACAGGGAUUUUAAAAAAAUGUGUGUACGUAGACAUCUGAGGUCUCAGGCCUUAUUUUUUUAUUAAAUAAAUAGGGUCCGAGACCUCAGAUGGCUAGAAAAUACCAGCCAACUAAACUAACAUGAGAAGAUCAAUGGAUGAUCUGUAAGUGGAAAAAUUCUAUUCUGAUUAAAUCUACACAAAGGAUCCCUCUUUUUCCUUCCCAAAUGCUUUAGUGUACAUUUAAUUGCAGCAAGAUACCUUUUCACCUCCAUUAGGACAUUUUUUUUUUCUGGGAUUUUUCCAUUCUGCUUUUACUUCCUCCACUCAGGAAGUCAACAGACUGUAGCCAACAUACCAGCAGUACUCUUAGGACAGCAGUGACCUACCCAGCAUUCAGCAUCCAGCAACAAAGUCAAGACAAAAGAAAUAGUCACCUUGAGAGUCAAAAAUAGUAAGCUCCCAGGAUUCUGUUAGAAUACCAGAGUAUUGAAAGAGGCCAGGAUAUCAUUUCAGCUUUCUAGACCAGCUGUGGGGGUGUACAGUCAAGCCAGAAAGCUUAUGAAGAACAAAGGCAGUAAAACCAAACAUAGACAGUUCUUUGAAUCUGUGAUCUUUCCUUGCUUGAUAAAGUUCAGUUGUAGAAUUGAGCUGAAACUGUUUACUGAGCUAAUUUAUACUAACAGUUAAUUUUGACAACAACACGAGCCAUUUUUUCUCAUUUUGAAUUUUAACCAAAAGAAGCCCUAUUUUGAGGAUUGGGCACAAAAAUCCAGAAAUCUUUGAAUGUCUUAAAAACGGGAUGCUGUGACUUUUCUAUUUUGAAACUCGUUUCCCAUUCAGAGCAGAGCAAAUCUUUUUCUUUCUUUUCUUUUUCUUUUUUAACUAAAGGGAAUAAAAGGGUUAAAUAACCUGAAAGAAGAAAAGGAUCAAAUGAAUGUUCGGCCUGACCCCAGGCAUUUCUUCAAGGUUUUGUUUCAAUAACCCAACUAAAAUAUCCCUUGUUAACAUGAUUCUAAGUACAAGGUACCUUAACAACAAUUCCCGGGAGAUGUCGUAACACCUUUGUCAAAUUCAGUUUAAUGUCAGAGUGGCUGAGAACAUGUUCAUUCUAUGAAAAAAGGUACUUUAACAUUUCCAUCCUAAUUUUGGAAGAAAACAAAUGUUGAAGUAUUAGAAUUUCCCCCAGGAUGAAAAUUCUAAUAUUUUGCUCAGCUCUGGUUUCCAAUAACUCUUACACUUUAAUUUUGUGAUAUUUAACUUAAUGUUUCCCAUGUGAGUAUUAUAGCACUAGUGGGUAAAACUUUAGUCACCUCACAGAUUAGGCAUGCAAAGGAAAACAGUUCAUAUAUGUACAGGGACAGAUUUCUGCCUUCACAAGUGCCUUCCUCUUGUUUCCCCUGCUGAUGAGAUGUCAGUUUAUUACAGACUUGAUGAAUGGAGUUUCCUUUCUCAGGAAACAG